UACUGAGGUGGGCGGGACGGGUGAGUACGCGGUGGUACCUGCCUCAUACAGGGGGAUAACAGUUAGAAAUGACUGCUAAUACCGCAUAAGACCACAGUACCGCAUGGUACAGGGGUAAAAACUCCGGUGGUAUGAGAUGGACCCGCGUCUGAUUAGGUAGUUGGUGGGGUAACGGCCUACCAAGCCGACGAUCAGUAGCCGACCUGAGAGGGUGACCGGCCACAUUGGGACUGAGACACGGCCCAA
rnacentral:rRNA from 1 species